GGGCGGGUCCUGUGCGGCGGAAGAUCGUGAAUCUGGUCAGGGCCGGAAGGCAGCAGCCAUAAGCGACUCCUUCCGGGUGACACAGGGUUACCUGGCCGAU
rnacentral:SRP_RNA from 1 species